UGUCUCAAAAAAAACUAAAAAAAAAAAAAAAGAAAUCACUGAAAAUGCAGACAGAAGUUCCCAGGGGGAGCAUUUUCAAAUAGACCCAGGGAUCUGCAUCCUAAACAGGACUGGCAUGAGGAGCGUAUUUAGUGUUAAUCCUGAUUCAGUUUUGCUUAUGUUUUUUUUUUUUUGUAGUGUUGGCUUUUAGAAAUUGAUAUUUAAAAAAAAACAUCAUGAUGAAGUCAUUUAAUAUGAAUUUGUAGUGACUCAAACUUAUGGUGCUGAAGAAUCUUAAAAUUCUGUUUAGUGAAGCCAGGGGUUCCACCAUGUCUGAUUUCCCACCACUGCUGACACCAUGAAAUAUUUAUCAAGGAUUCAAUAUUGUUUCCUUCAGACCUGAAAAUAUGCUAAAUUCAGCAAUGAUUUAAAUGUAUUGUUAUUCUUUUGUGCAAAGGGAAUAAUAGGACAUAUCUAUGAAAAUAAUAAAACUCACUUUUAAUAAACAUACCAGAAUUUUAACAUGUACUUGGUUUUAACUAUUAAAAUUUCCCCUUUUAGAGACAUAUUUGAUGUUUCUUCAUCCAAAAUGCUUGUGAUGCCUUGAAAGCCACAAUCUGUCCCACUGGCCAGCUGAACAAGUUUCAGCCCCAGCCAUAAGCCUGUGUUUGGUGGCUAUGAUUGAUGCUCAGCUCACACUGUCCACAUUUUCUCCCUCAUGCAUCAUCAUCAGGCCCCUCCAACACGACCGUCCUGGAGCUGUUCUACUUUCUGAUUCUUGGCUUUUCCUGGUGAUUCAUGAGACAGAGUAGUAAAAAGAAAAAAAAAAAAUCUCACCUUGGCUUUUCACAAUGUAUCAUCCUCUGUGAGAAUUCUAGUUUUGUUCAUCAGAUUCAUGCAAAUGUAAUAUUGAUUGACAGUGAUGUAUAUAGAUCCACAUGCACAAUGUGCUACACAGAAACCACUAAAAUGUUCUAUUAACGGCAGAACACAUACUGAUUAUAAACUACUUUGCAAUUGA